GACCCAGACUCCUACGGGAGGCAGCAGUGGGGAAUAUUGCCCAAUGGGCGCCAUCCUGAUGCAGCCCUGCCGCGUGUAUGAAGACGGCCUUCGGGUUUUCAAGUACUUUCAUCUGGGAGGAAGGUGUUGAGGUUAAUAACCUCAGCAAUUUACUUUACCCGCAUACUAAUCACCGGCUAACUCCGUGCCAGCAGCCGCGGUAAUACGGCUUUUGCAAGCGUUAAUCGGAAUUACUGGGCGUAAAGCGCACGCAGGCGGUCGGUCAAGUCGGAUGUGAAAUCCCCGGGCUCAACCUGGGAACUGCAUUCGAAACUGGCAGGCUGGAGUCUUGUAGAGGGGGGUAGAAUUCCAGGUGUAGCGGUGAAAUGCGUAGAGAUAGGGAGGAAUACCGGUGGCGAAGGCGGCCCCCUGGACAAAGACUGACGCUCAGGUGCGAAAGCGUGGGGAGCAAACAGGAUUAGAUACCCGUGUAC
rnacentral:rRNA from 1 species